rnacentral:rRNA from 1 species
AAAUUGAAGAGUUUGAUCAUGGCUCAGAUUGAACGCUGGCGGCAGGCCUAACACAUGCAAGUCGAACGGUAACAGGAAGCAGCUUGCUGCUUUGCUGACGAGUGGCGGACGGGUGAGUAAUGUCUGGGAAACUGCCUGAUGGAGGGGGAUAACUACUGGAAACGGUGGCUAAUACCGCAUAACGUCGCAAGACCAAAGAGGGGGACCUUCGGGCCUCUUGCCAUCAGAUGUGCCCAGAUGGGAUUAGCUUGUUGGUGAGGUAACGGCUCACCAAGGCGACGAUCCCUAGCUGGUCUGAGAGGAUGACCAGCCACACUGGAACUGAGACACGGUCCAGACUCCUACGGGAGGCAGCAGUGGGGAAUAUUGCACAAUGGGCGCAAGCCUGAUGCAGCCAUGCCGCGUGUAUGAAGAAGGCCUUCGGGUUGUAAAGUACUUUCAGCGGGGAGGAAGGUGUUGUGGUUAAUAACCACAGCAAUUGACGUUACCCGCAGAAGAAGCACCGGCUAACUCCGUGCCAGCAGCCGCGGUAAUACGGAGGGUGCAAGCGUUAAUCGGAAUUACUGGGCGUAAAGCGCACGCAGGCGGUCUGUCAAGUCGGAUGUGAAAUCCCCGGGCUCAACCUGGGAACUGCAUUCGAAACUGGCAGGCUUGAGUCUUGUAGAGGGGGGUAGAAUUCCAGGUGUAGCGGUGAAAUGCGUAGAGAUCUGGAGGAAUACCGGUGGCGAAGGCGGCCUCCUGGACAAAGACUGACGCUCAGGUGCGAAAGCGUGGGGAGCAAACAGGAUUAGAUACCCUGGUAGUCCACGCCGUAAACGAUGUCUACUUGGAGGUUGUGCCCUUGAGGCGUGGCUUCCGGAGCUAACGCGUUAAGUAGACCGCCUGGGGAGUACGGCCGCAAGGUUAAAACUCAAAUGAAUUGACGGGGGCCCGCACAAGCGGUGGAGCAUGUGGUUUAAUUCGAUGCAACGCGAAGAACCUUACCUGGUCUUGACAUCCACAGAACUUUCCAGAGAUGGAUUGGUGCCUUCGGGAACUGUGAGACAGGUGCUGCAUGGCUGUCGUCAGCUCGUGUUGUGAAAUGUUGGGUUAAGUCCCGCAACGAGCGCAACCCUUAUCCUUUGUUGCCAGCGAUUAGGUCGGGAACUCAAAGGAGACUGCCAGUGAUAAACUGGAGGAAGGUGGGGAUGACGUCAAGUCAUCAUGGCCCUUACGACCAGGGCUACACACGUGCUACAAUGGCGCAUACAAAGAGAAGCGACCUCGCGAGAGCAAGCGGACCUCAUAAAGUGCGUCGUAGUCCGGAUUGGAGUCUGCAACUCGACUCCAUGAAGUCGGAAUCGCUAGUAAUCGUGGAUCAGAAUGCCACGGUGAAUACGUUCCCGGGCCUUGUACACACCGCCCGUCACACCAUGGGAGUGGGUUGCAAAAGAAGUAGGUAGCUUAACCUUCGGGAGGGCGCUUACCACUUUGUGAUUCAUGACUGGGGUGAAGUCGUAACAAGGUAACCGUAGGGGAACCUGCGGUUGGAUCACCUCCUUACCUUAAAGAA